UGGAAUCGAAGCCUCUUAAAAUGGCAG
rnacentral:piRNA from 1 species